AUUGAACGCUGGCGGCAGGCCUAACACAUGCAAGUCGAGCGGAGCGGCGGACGGGUGAGUAAUGCCUAGGAAUCUGCCUGGUAGUGGGGGAUAACGUCCGGAAACGGGCGCUAAUACCGCAUACUAUCAGAUGAGCCUAGGUCGGAUUGGUUAUUUGGUGGGGUAAAGGCCUACCAAGGCGACGAUCUGUAACUGGUCUGAGAGGAUGAUCAGUCAUACUGGAACUGAGACAGGUUCUAGACUACUACGGCAGGCAGCAGUGGGGAUUAUUGGCCAAUGGGCGCAAGCGUGAUCCAGCCAUGCCGCGUGUGUGAAGCAGGUCUUCGGAUUGGACAGACCUUUAAGUUGGGAGGCGUUACCCACAGCAUAAGCACCGGCUAACUUCGUGCCAGCAGCCGCGGUAAUUC
rnacentral:rRNA from 1 species